AUAAUAUAAACUUUUCCUUAACAUAUUUCUUUGGCAUGAUCAUUGCAUAAUUAUAUUGUACAUGAUGCAUCGUUAACCUAUUAUAUUAGAUUGAUCUUCAUAGAAUAAUGAAGGUUAUUGUUAUUUUAAUUCAGUCCAAAAAUAUUUAUUAAAAAUAACAACAUGAUCUCUGAAUUCUAUUUAUUUAUUUUGUUUAUAAUAUCAUUUUUAAUUUACAAUUUUUUUUAAAAUGCUUCAUAAAAUUAAUGUAAAUUUAUAUAAAAUAACUUUUUUUUUCUAACUUUCCGUCAGUAGGAGUGGGCAUUUUCAGCCACGUGGCACCUCAACAAUUUCAAGUCUUGGAAUGUUUUGGGACUUAACCUUCUAACUUUCGCUGGGUCUUUUUUUUCCAUUUGUUAUUCUUAACUUGUGUUUGGGCUCCAACAUAUCAUUUAGUCGAAGCCCAAUAAGGUUUAGGGUUCAUCUUCUCACCUUUGAGCUUUGUAUCUCAGCUGUCGAUUUCUCCAAUUACCGCAGAUGUCGAUCAAGUGACCAUAACGUUUCCAACCUGCGUUAAUACGAACUUUAAUCCUAGCUUUAACUUGAUUAACCCUCUCCUCCCACUCUGAAAAACAUCAAUCGACCUCAUCGUCUCCCAAAGUAAUCGACUUAGCUCCGAGUAUAAAUCUUCCAACCUUCAAGCCAUGAAUAUCACAACGUCAACCACUCCCAGAAUAUUCAUCUCUGUUCCUGCUUGCCGAUUUGAACCACAACCGAGUCCCACCGUCUGCUUGGAUUCUGGUAGGUGAGGAAUGUGAAAGGCGGCGAGCUAAUGCAUGUGGACAUGCUCCUCCUUGAGGAGAAGGAUGCACUUAUCAAGACGUUUUCAGUGAAGCUUCAGUUUACAUGUUAAGCUGUUUCGACGUGACUUCAGCUGUUUUGAUAGCUCAAGUUCCUCCAAGACACAAGAGAAAUGCACUGCUACUUCGAGUUCUGUUACAGCUUCUAGCAAAUCUAUGCUUCAAUGAGGAACUUUCCUGCGAUCACUUUACAAGGUUGUGGUCUAUGUAUCAGAAACGAAUCCUCUAAUCAUAUACCUCAAGGACGUUGAGAAGCUUUCGAGUCAGAAAGAUUCUCUUUAAUAAGAUCUCUGGUCCUGUCUUGAUUCUUGGCUCAAGGGUAAAAGUACCUGAAGAUGAUUUCCAAUAAGUAGGUGAAGGCUUCUCGCUUGCUUUCUUUACAACAUCGAAAUCAGACCACCUUUGGAUAAAUCUCAGCUCUUGAGCUGGAAUAAUCGCUUAGAAGAUGACAUGAAGAUAGUUCAGUUCAAAGACAACAAGAACCAAAGGAUCUCAUGAACCUCAAUAUCAUUGCAUCUUAGCAGGGAUGUAAGCGUGUGUUUUACGCCUUAGCUCUUGCAUGCCAUAAUAAAUACGAUGCUACAGGUCUGACACUAUUGAUCGCAUCAAGGAAUGUGUUAAGGAGAAAGAAGGCGUCCCUCCCGUUAAACAAAGGUCGUUGGAGUUGUUUCUGGUUAAAUCUUCGUGACAUAGAAAAUUGCAUCUCCUUUCUAAUGUGUUUUCUUAUGUUCUUGCCAUUACUUGAUUAUACUCGGUUUGCAAGCUGAUAAUCUAAGCAGUUACGCAUAACACUGAUUCUUAAAGAGUUUUUUUUUUUUGCCAAGACAAGACAGCAAAAUACUACAACAUUGAGGGAGGCUCUGUUCUGCAUCUUGUCCUCUGAGUAGUAACUCAUAUUUUUUGGGUUUAGUGUUUACUGAGGCCUUGAGUGAAGCCCCCCACUUUUGGCAAUACUUAUGUAAGAAUAAAGCAAACGAAUAUCACAAUGUACAUUAAACUGUAAAGCAUAUGGCUGUUUCUGCAAACCCAGCUCGGAGGUUGUUCUUUUUUUUCUUUUUUUUUCAGUCAUCAAGGAUGUUAUUAAUAUUACAGGCACAAUCAAACUUA